ensembl:lincRNA
CUCCCCUCCCCUUCCAAAACUGAGGUGUCUUCUCAGGUCUGGCCACAUGCAGCUCACAGACAAGACCCUCUGAUGGCUUUUCUUCAGAGCAGAAGUAUUCGCUGUCAAGUCUUAAUUUCCAUUUUGUGGGGGAGAAGCCCAGUUGUUCAGGAGUCUGUAAUGAGAUGACUUCCCUGCAGUGCGUUUGCCCUUGCAAGAAUCUUCCAACGUUCCAGGCCAAAAAGGAGCAUUUGGGUGCUGAGUUGCAGGGCAGGGGGGNNNNNNNNNNNNNNNNNNNGCCCCGGGGGGGGAGGCGGGGGGGCCCUGGGGUGGCCCUGGGCCUGGUCCUGCCCUGGAGUCGGGGUGGGGGCCUAGACCUGCUGGACAGGCCCUGCCAGGCUCACCACUUGAACUGCUGCUCUGGGUCUACGUCCUCCUGUGAGUCAGCCGUGCAGUUCAGUUUAGAAUACACGGGGGGGGUUGGGGGGGUGCACUGGCCUGCAUACUCACCCACGUGCAAGUGCACACGCCCACACACGCACACACGCGCACACACAAGAGCACACGUGUGUACAGGCACCACAGCGCUUCCUGGAGGGGCCGGUGUUCUGCUUUUGCUCUGCGUUCCUAACUGUGCUCUUUCCUUCACCCUGAGCCCUCCAUCCUGCCCAGGGAAGAAGGCACAGAGGAGCCGUAUCAGCCCGGGCUGCCGUCCCCUGCUCACAGCCAGCAGGGCACCCAGGUGGGUUGGGGCAGGGGGGCCCUGGGAAUUUGGAUGGAAGAGGCAGGAGGUGGGGCUCGCACACAGGAGGCUCAGAUUGUCACCCAUCACAGGCACGUGUGGGCCCGGGAGGACUCGGUUCCCACCAGGAGCACCGGGAGUCCCGAGUUGCGGGCUUUGGCCACAUCUUCGUGACAAGGCAGCAGUUCCUUCUUUCCCGAGGACAUGGGGACCAGCCUGUGACCUCCACGGUGACAGACAUCACUCUCCUGGUUCAGGACAGCUGCUGACCAUGUGGGGCCAAUGGGGAGAGUCCCAUUUCAAAUUUCCACCUGGACUCCCAGACCCUGACUCUGGCGGAGACCCUCCCCUGGUGCCAUCAGGACAAACCUGCCCCCAGGUAAAAGUCUCAGAGGGCGAAAGGUGCACAUCACCACUGAUCAGGACUCUUGGACACACGAUUUUGUUUCACCUCAUCCCCACCAACACGCAGGUCUCCACGCCGCAGCCCUGGCCCAGCACUACUCUCCCCUGCCUUUCGCCAUGGUCUGUGCUCAGCACGCUGAAUCUGAGACUACUUGGUGUGGCGGCUGAUUCUGAUGAUAACGGUAAAAAUUUACACACAAAUUUUUUAUUAAGAUAA